UACGAAGGGGGCUAGCGUUGCUCGGAAUGACUGGGCGUAAAGGGCGCGUAGGCGGCGAUCAAAGUCAGGCGUGAAAUUCCUGGGCUCAACCUGGGGGCUGCGCUUGAUACUUGGUUGCUUGAGUGGGGAAGAGGGUCGUGGAAUUCCCAGUGUAGAGGUGAAAUUCGUAGAUAUUGGGAAGAACACCGGUGGCGAAGGCGGCGACCUGGUCCUUGACUGACGCUGAGGAGCGAAAGCGUGGGGAGCGAACAGG
rnacentral:rRNA from 1 species